rnacentral:rRNA from 1 species
GGCAGCGGUCCAAGUUCCUUGGAACAGGACGUCACAGAGGGUGAGAAUCCCGUACGUGGUCGCUGGCUAUUGCCGUGUAAAGCCCCUUCGACGAGUCGAGUUGUUUGGGAAUGCAGCUCUAAAUGGGAGGUACAUUUCUUCUAAAGCUAAAUAUUGGCCAGAGACCGAUAGCGCACAAGUAGAGUGAUCGAAAGAUGAAAAGCACUUUGAAAAGAGGGUUAAAUAGCACGUGAAAUUGUUGAAAGGGAAGCGCUUGCAGCCAGACUUGCUUGC